rnacentral:rRNA from 1 species
GCUUGUCUCAAAGAUUAAGCCAUGCAUGUCUAAGUAUAAACUUCUUUAUACCGUGAAACUGCGUACAGCUCAUUAUAUCAGUAAUGAUUUAUUUGAUGGUAUGUUCCUACAUGGAUAUCUGUAGUAAUUCUAGAGCUAAUACAUGCGUCAAAACCCAACUUCUGGGAGGGUUGUAUUUAUUAGAUGGAAACCAAUGCGGGGCAACCCGGUAUAUGGUGAUUCAUAAUAACUUUCGGAUCGAUCUUCGGAUCGAUGCAUCAUUCAAGUUUCUGCCCUAUCAGCUUUGGAUGGUAGGGUAUUGGCCUACCAUGGCUUUAACGGGUAACGGAGAAUUAGGGUUCGAUUCCGGAGAGGGAGCCUGAGAAAUGGCUACCACAUCCAAGGAAGGCAGCAGG